rnacentral:rRNA from 1 species
UACGGAGGGUGCGAGCGUUGUCCGGAAUCACUGGGCGUAAAGGGCGCGUAGGCGGCCUGGCAAGUCGAUGGUGAAAGCCCGAGGCUCAACUUCGGGUCGGCCACUGAUACUGCUGGGCUUGAGUCGACUAGAGGCAGAUGGAAUUCCGGGUGUAGCGGUGGAAUGCGUAGAGAUCCGGAAGAACACCGGUGGCGAAGGCGGGUCUGCUGGGGUCGAACUGACGCUGAGGGCGCGACAGCGUAGGGGAGCAAACAGG